GAUGAACGCUGGCGGCGUGCCUAAUACAUGCAAGUCGAGCGAACAGACGAGGAGCUUGCUCCUCUGACGUUAGCGGCGGACGGGUGAGUAACACGUGGAUAACCUACCUAUAAGACUGGGAUAACUUCGGGAAACCGGAGCUAAUACCGGAUAAUAUAUUGAACCGCAUGGUUCAAUAGUGAAAGACGGUUUUGCUGUCACUUAUAGAUGGAUCCGCGCCGCAUUAGCUAGUUGGUACGGUAACGGCUUACCAAGGCAACGAUGCGUAGCCGACCUGAGAGGGGGAUCGGCCACACUGGAACUGAGACACGGUCCAGACUCCUACGGGAGGCAGCAGUAGGGAAUCUUCCGCAAUGGGCGAAAGCCUGACGGAGCAACGCCGCGUGAGUGAUGAAGGUCUUCGGAUCGUAAAACUCUGUUAUUAGGGAAGAACAAAUGUGUAAGUAACUAUGCACGUCUUGACGGUACCUAAUCAGAAAGCCACGGCUAACUACGUG
rnacentral:rRNA from 1 species